CCUACGGGAGGCAGCAGUGAGGAAUAUUGGUCAAUGGACGAGAGUCUGAACCAGCCAAGUAGCGUGAAGGAAGACUGCCCUAUGGGGUGUAAACUUCGUUUAUAAGGAAAUAAAAUGUUCCACGUGUGGGAGAUGGUAUGUACAAUAAGAUUAAGGAUCGGCGAACUCCGUGCCAGCGGCCGCGGUAAUACGGAGGAACCGGGCGUUAUCCGGAUUUAGUGGGUUUAAAGGGAGCGUAGGUGGAUUGUUAAGUCAGUUGUGAAAGUUUGCGGUUCAACCGCAAAAUUGCAGUUGAAACUGGCAGGCUUGAGUACAGUAGAGGUGGGCGGAAUUCGUGGUGUAGCGGUGAAAUGCUUAGAUAUCACGAAGAACUCCGAUGGCGAAGGCAGCUCACUGGACUGCAACUGACACUGAGGCUCGAAAGUGUGGGUAUCAAACAGGAUUAGAUACCCGAGUAGUC
rnacentral:rRNA from 1 species